rnacentral:rRNA from 1 species
GACGAACGCUGGCGGCGUGCCUAAUACAUGCAAGUAGAACGCUGAAGGAGGAGCUUGCUCUUCUGGAUGAGUUGCGAACGGGUGAGUAACGCGUAGGUAACCUGCCUGGUAGCGGGGGAUAACUAUUGGAAACGAUAGCUAAUACCGCAUAACAGUAGAUGUUGCAUGACAUUUGCUUAAAAGGUGCAAUUGCACCACUACCAGAUGGACCUGCGUUGUAUUAGCUAGUUGGUGGGGUAACGGCUCACCAAGGCGACGAUACAUAGCCGACCUGAGAGGGUGAUCGGCCACACUGGGACUGAGACACGGCCCAGACUCCUACGGGAGGCAGCAGUAGGGAAUCUUCGGCAAUAGACGGAAGUCUGACCGAGCAACGCCGCGUGAGUGAAGAAGGUUUUCGGAUCGUAAAGCUCUGUUGUAAGAGAAGAACGAGUGUGAGAGUGGAAAGUUCACACUGUGACGGUAUCUUACCAGAAAGGGACGACUAACUACGUG